AACGCACAUUGCGCCCCUUGGUAUUCCGGGGGGCAUGCCUGUUCGAGCGUCAUUUCAACCCUCAAGCUACGCUUGGUCUUGGGCCCUGCCGGCAACGGCUGGCCUUAAAAUUAGUGGCGGUGCCAUUGAGCUCUACGCGUAGUAAUAAAACCCUCGCUUCUGAGUCUCGGUGGACGCUUGCCAGCAACCCCCAAUUUCUAUGGUUGACCUCGGAUCAGGUAGGGAUACCCGCUGAACUUAA
rnacentral:misc_RNA from 2 species